UACGUAGGGUGCAAGCGUUAAUCGGAAUUACUGGGCGUAAAGCGUGCGCAGGCGGUUUUGUAAGUCUGACGUGAAAUCCCCGGGCUCAACCUGGGAAUUGCGUUGGAGACUGCAAGGCUGGAGUCUGGCAGAGGGGGGUAGAAUUCCACGUGUGAGCAGUGAAAUGCGUAGAGAUGUGGAGGAACACCGAUGGCGAAGGCAGCCCCCUGGGUCGAAGACUGACGCUCCA
rnacentral:rRNA from 1 species